CCUACGGGUGGCAGCAGUCGAGAAUUUUUCUCAAUGGGGGAAACCCUGAAGGAGCGACGCCGCGUGGAGGAUGAAGGUCUUCGGAUUGUAAACUCCUGUCAUGAGGGAGUAAGAUGCAUCGUUAACUGCGAGUGCAUUUGAUAGUACCUCAAGAGGAAGGGACGGCUAACUCUGUGCCAGCAGCCGCGGUAAUACAGAGGUCCCAAGCGUUGUUCGGAUUCAUUGGGCGUAAAGGGUGCGUAGGCGGGAAGGUAAGUCAGAUGUGAAAUUUCAGGGCUCAACCUUGAAACUGCAUUUGAUACUGCCUUUCUUGAGUGCUGGAGGGGAGACUGGAAUUCACGGUGUAGCAGUGAAAUGCGUAGAUAUCGUGAGGAAGGCCAGUGGCGAAGGCGAGUCUCUGGACAGCAACUGACGCUGAGGCACGAAGGCUAGGGGAGCAAACGGGAUUAGAUACCCUAGUAGUC
rnacentral:rRNA from 1 species